rnacentral:pre_miRNA from 1 species
AGAGGGAUAGCUGGGUAAAAUGUGGUUCCAUUCCAAGUUUUCCAAGGAAUCUCCAUACUGCUUUCCAUAAUGGCUGCACCAAUUUGCAGUCCCACCAGCAAU